rnacentral:lncRNA from 1 species
GUACUGACUCCUGCUAUGUCCAAAGGAUGACUCAGACAACUUCUGGGGAGCAUCCUGGGGUCCAUGCAUCAGACCAACCUCUUACACCACCUCCACAUUCCUUCAACUUCUUUCCUCUUUGCCUUGGCUGCUAGGAAGCUCCCACCCAGUUUGUGUAAGUGAGGUCCAAAACCUCUCCCCUUGGGCCCUGCAGGAUGCCCUGUUCUGCUUUGGGCUUCUCUUUUGGGCUUCCUAGUACACUGCCUGUGCCUCCCAGCAGGGAGCAAGGAGCAGGGCAAGGGGAAGGCACGGUUGAGAAGCAGUCUCGGGGGCAGGGGGCUCGCCCUGGGGCUGCAGGGCUGGGCCCAGCCUGGACGCUGCUCCCUGCUUCUGGCCAGGGAGAGCCUGAUGGUCACAGAGAGGUGGGUCUCAGAGUUUCUACAGGGUGGACCCCCGGAGUGUGGGUGCCUUAUCAUCUCCUGUCCCCAC